UACGUAGGCAGCGAGCGUUGUUCGGAAUUACUGGGCGUAAAGAGUGUGUAGGCGGUGCUCUAAGUUCGGUGUGAAAUCUCCUGGCUCAACUGGGAGGGUGCGCCGGAAACUGGAGUGCUUGAGCGUGGGAGAGGAAAGCGGAAUUCCUGGUGUAGCGGUGAAAUGCGUAGAUAUCAGGAGGAACACCUGUGGUGUAGACGGCUUUCUGGACGGUAACUGACGCUGAGGCACGAAAGCGUGGGUAGCAAACAGG
rnacentral:rRNA from 1 species